GACGAACGCUGGCGGCGUGCUUAACACAUGCAAGUCGAACGGUGAAGGGACCGGUUUUUGCUGGUUCUGGAUGAGUGGCGAACGGGUGAGUAACACGUGAGUAACCUGCCCCCUUCUUCUGGAUAACCGCAUGAAAGUGUGGCUAAUACGGGAUAUUCUGCGCCUGCUGCAUGGUGGGUGUGGGAAAGAUAUUGUUUCGGUGGGGGAUGGGCUCGCGGCCUAUCAGCUUGUUGGUGGGGUGAUGGCCUACCAAGGCGGUGACGGGUAGCCGGCCUGAGAGGGUGGACGGUCACACUGGGACUGAGACACGGCCCAGACUCCUACGGGAGGCAGCAGUGGGGAAUAUUGCACAAUGGGCGCAAGCCUGAUGCAGCGACGCCGCGUGAGGGAUGGAAGCCUUCGGGUUGUAAACCUCUUUCGCCAGUGAAGCAGGCCUGUCCCUUGUGUGGGUGGGUUGACGGUAGCUGGAUAAGAAGCGCCGGCUAACUACGUG
rnacentral:rRNA from 1 species